UACGUAGGUGACAAGCGUUGUCCGGAUUUACUGGGCGUAAAGAGCGCGCAGGCGGUCGUUCAAGUCGAGUGUGAAAGCCCCCGGCUCAACUGGGGAGGGUCAUUCGAUACUGAUCGACUCGAAGGCAGGAGAGGGUAGUGGAAUUCCCGGUGUAGUGGUGAAAUGCGUAGAUAUCGGGAGGAACACCAGUGGCGAAGGCGACUACCUGGCCUGUUCUUGACGCUGAGGCGCGAAAGCUAGGGGGAGCAAACGGG
rnacentral:rRNA from 1 species